rnacentral:rRNA from 1 species
UGGGGAGUAUUGGACAAUGGGGGCAACCCUGAUCCAGCAAUGCCGCGUGAGUGAUGAAGGCCUUAGGGUUGUAAAGCUCUUUCGACGGGGAAGAUGAUGACGGUACCCGUAGAAGAAGCCCCGGCUAACUUCGUGCCAGCAGCCGCGGUAAUACGAAGGGGGCUAGCGUUGUUCGGAUUUACUGGGCGUAAAGGGCGCGUAGGCGGUGCAAUAAGUCAGGCGUGAAAGCCCCGGGCUCAACCCGGGAAUUGCGCUUGAUACUGUUGCGCUUGAAUCCAGGAGAGGAUGGCGGAAUUCCCAGUGUAGAGGUGAAAUUCGUAGAUAUUGGGAAGAACACCAGUGGCGAAGGCGGCCAUCUGGCCUGGAAUUGACGCUGAGGCGCGAAAGCGUGGGGAGCAAACAGG